rnacentral:rRNA from 1 species
UAUUGGUCAAUGGGCGCGAGCCUGAACCAGCCAAGUAGCGUGAAGGAUGACGGCCCUAUGGGUUGUAUACUUCUUUUAUAUGGGAAUANNGUUUUCCACGUGUGGAAUUUUGUAUGUACAAUAUGAAUAAGGAUCGGCUAACUCCGUGUCAGCAGCCGCGGUAAUACGGAGGAUCCGAGCGUUAUCCGGAUUUAUUGGGUUUAAAGGGAGCGUAGGUGGACAGUUAAGUCAGUUGUGAAAGUUUGCGGCUCAACCGUAAAAUUGCAGUUGAAACUGGCAGUCUUGAGUACAGUAGAGGUGGGCGGAAUUCGUGGUGUAGCGGUGAAAUGCUUAGAUAGCACGAAGAACUCCGAUUGCGAAGGCAGCUCACUAGACUGCAACUGACACUGAUGCUCGAAAGUGUGGGUAUCAAAC